CACACACAUGCUGUUAAUAACACAAUGUAUUUAUGCAUGUCUUAUUUAUGUCACAUUAUGUUUGAACUGAACUGAUGACCAGGAUACACAGAUACAGCUAACAGUGAAUCAGAGAAUGUAGACUUUAUGACUGAUGGAUCAAUAUUCAGAGUAAUUUUAAUUAUUGUUGAGAUUGCAGUGUUUGCGGCUCCUACUGUGAUUCUCCUUCAGAGUCUCUGUACAAGAGCUGGAAGGAACAACUCUCACCACCCAAAGGAAAUAGAGAUGUCUACAGUAUUAUAAUGAAA